AGACUGAUAGCUGCAGGCGGCAUUUGCUGCAUCUCUGUGUCGUUGUGCCUCUUGAAGCCAUUGAUUGAUCUUUGGCUCUAGUUUCCCCACUUCUCCAGACUACACCGACGCCCAAUCAACAACAACAGCUCACCUCGACAUCCUCGACACUCUGUUCCCCGAUUAAGCUGCUGUCUUAGCAGCCGCUCGAUCCCUGCCGACCGCUGAGCUCAUCGCCAUCUACGUCGACCUCAACUUCCAACUGAGAUUCGUCACCUAGGACAACCUCGACGCCUCCACACUGACGGCGACCUCACUAAUCUCGACAUCGCUGCUCGCUCGAAGAGAUUACUCUCCUAGCCCUCGUCCUCGUCCCCGUGCCCGUCCCCGUCCAGAUCCGACCAUCUGGCGGACCCGCUGCUCAAUGACACUGCCGCUCAACUACACCGCUGUUCGUCCUCAACCUUCACUCUGACCUGAUCCCCUGCCUUCGCCACGGUCCCUCUCCACACUUACCUAUGGGGUGCCCUCGAGGUGUUCGACAUAAUGCUCUUUAGACUUCUGCAUCUUGGAUCGGCCCCACUCCUCGUCCAUCACCAUAUCGUGGAUCCUCUCUGCGCUAUGCAUCAAGACGACCCUGGUCUUCGGCUCAUCCUGUCAAGCGACAACAAUCCAGGUCGCCUUUGGGUGCAAGGUGGUGUGCUUGCCACCAAGCAGUUGGGGCCACUCCGAGUACAGAUGUCGCGCACGAUGGACUGGCUCUCUCACUACCUCAGCUCACUUGGCCUCACGAUGGAUGAUCAGUGCCUGCUCAGACUUGCCCAUUGCUUUAGCUGCCCAUGAUUUGUGUCGGCGGCCUAAAUAAGCCCUAUCAAUUCUCCGUCACUAAUGUCCGCCAUGUCCCAAGCAUUACCUUGAACGUAUUCUUAAUUUCCCAGCUCGUUGCCCUAAAUUAGACCGUAAUAUUCACCGCAUCUUCUUGCGUCA